CUGGCGGCGGCCUACACAUGCAAGUCGAGCGGUAGAGAGAAGCUUGCUUCUCUUGAGAGCGGCGGACGGGUGAGUAAUGCCUAGGAAUCUGCCUGGUAGUGGGGGAUAACGCUCGGAAACGGACGCUAAUACCGCAUACGUCCUACGGGAGAAAGCAGGGGACCUUCGGGCCUUGCGCUAUCAGAUGAGCCUAGGUCGGAUUAGCUAGUUGGUGAGGUAAUGGCUCACCAAGGCGACGAUCCGUAACUGGUCUGAGAGGAUGAUCAGUCACACUGGAACUGAGACACGGUCCAGACUCCUACGGGAGGCAGCAGUGGGGAAUAUUGGACAAUGGGCGAAAGCCUGAUCCAGCCAUGCCGCGUGUGUGAAGAAGGUCUUCGGAUUGUAAAGCACUUUAAGUUGGGAGGAAGGGCAGUAAAUUAAUACUUUGCUGUUUUGACGUUACCGACAGAAUAAGCACCGGCUAACUCUGUGCCAGCAGCCGCGGUAAU
rnacentral:rRNA from 1 species